UGCUGGGUUGAUGGGAGAAACUCUCCCGUUGACUUACUUUAUGCUUCUUGUUCCGGUGGAGUACCAGAGUCGACAAGAGAGUGAUCAGCUGUUGAUCGAUCAUCACAGCAUCGAUCCCCGCACCCAAGGAGCCUUAGUCUUGGACAAGGACCCCCAUUGUGCUUGGCACCCAGACCACUGAGUUCAAUGGGACAAGGCACCUAAAUACUUUUAAGCAUCUGUGCCCUAAUGUCUUCAACAGGGAUUGUGUGAGUGGGGCUUCUCCACCAGGAAUAUUGUAGUUUUCUAAGUAUGGAUCCUCCUCAACACCAGGCAACUUGGGAAGGUGGCAUUGGGCUAUGGAAGGAAUGGCUGAAUACCCACAUGGAGAGAAAUGUGACUGAGCUCAUAGUCCCACAUAGCCAUAGAUUAUAGUAUCUCCAAUUUAAAGUUGCCUAAACUGUCUCCUGAAGCUGGUGGAGUUGGACGUGGGUUAAAGUAGGCACGGAGGGUGCUUAUGCAUAAGGAAGCAUGCUGUGGCUCACCACCCUAGGAACAUUCUAGAGAAGGCCAGUGGGAGAAGAAGGAGUUCAGCAUGUGGAAUGGAGAACUAUGAGCAUGUGAUAAACAAAUCCAUAUAUGGAAAGGUUAAUUCAUUGGUUAGAGGUUCAUGAUAUGUAACUUGUUAUGUAACUUGUUAUGUAAGUGUCAUGUGCUAUAAAAUAGCAAGGGGAGGGGCUCCUUGCUGGAGGUACUCUGCCUGAUUUUUUGUACCAGGGGCUCUCCUUUUGUGCACAUAUUGAAUAAAGCCUUGUUGAAUUGAA